rnacentral:rRNA from 1 species
UACGAAGGGGGCUAGCGUUGCUCGGAAUCACUGGGCGUAAAGCGCACGUAGGCGGAUCUUUAAGUCAGGGGUGAAAUCCUGGAGCUCAACUCCAGAACUGCCUUUGAUACUGGGGAUCUCGAGUCCGGAAGAGGUGAGUGGAACUCCGAGUGUAGAGGUGAAAUUCGUAGAUAUUGGGAAGAACACCGGUGGCGAAGGCGGCUCUCUGGACCGAUACUGACGCUGAGGCGCGAAAGCGUGGGGAGCAAACAGG